rnacentral:lncRNA from 1 species
CGCGGAUGGAGGGCGCUGGCCCUGGAACCACCCGGGCCUCGGUUCAGAGCUCGGCUCUGCUUCUCACACGCUUUAUGUCCUUGUGCUGGUUACAAAGUGUCUUCCACCUGGGCUUCCUCAUCCCUUCUUCAAUGUGCUGUAAUGAGGAUAACGUGGGAAGAUGCGUACGAUCUUCUGGCUCACGGAGGGGUAGUUGAAUCUGGAGAGGCGUUUCCAUCAACCAGUUUUGCAAGGAGUUCAAUGAGAGGACAAAGGACAUCAAGGAAGGCAUUCCUCUGCCUACCAAGAUUUUAGUGAAGCCUGACAGGACAUUUGAAAUUAAGAUUGGACAGCCCACUGUUUCCUACUUCCUGAAGGCAGCAGCUGGGAUUGAAAAGGGGGCCCGGCAAACAGGGAAAGAGGUGGCAGGCCUGGUGACCUUGAAGCAUGUGUAUGAGAUUGCCCGCAUCAAAGCUCAGGAUGAGGCAUUUGCCCUGCAGGAUGUACCCCUGUCGUCUGUUGUCCGCUCCAUCAUCGGGUCUGCCCGUUCUCUGGGCAUUCGCGUGGUGAAGGACCUCAGUUCAGAAGAGCUUGCAGCUUUCCAGAAGGAACGAGCCAUCUUCCUGGCUGCUCAGAAGGAGGCAGAUUUGGCUGCCCAAGAAGAAGCUGCCAAGAAGUGACCCUUGCCCCACCAACUCCCAGAUUUCAAAGGAGGUAGUUGCAAAAGCUGUGCCCAAGGGGAGGAAGGAGGUCACACCAAUAUGAUGAUGGUUUUCAUGACUUUGAAUGAUAUAUUUUUGUACAUCUAGCUGUAUCGAGGCAUCAGGCCUGAAUAAACAUCCUUUCUUA